AGAAGCUUGCUUCUUCUGAUUUAGCGGCGGACGGGUGAGUAACACGUGGGCAACCUGCCCUGUAGAUUGGGAUAACUCCGGGAAACCGGGGCUAAUACCGAAUAAUCCAUUUCCUCACAUGAGGAGAUGUUAAAAGACGGUCUCGGCUGUCACUACAGGAUGGGCCCGCGGCGCAUUAGCUAGUUGGUGGGGUAAUGGCUCACCAAGGCGACGAUGCGUAGCCGACCUGAGAGGGUGAUCGGCCACACUGGGACUGAGACACGGCCCAGACUCCUACGGGAGGCAGCAGUAGGGAAUCUUCCACAAUGGACGAAAGUCUGAUGGAGCAACGCCGCGUGAGUGAAGAAGGUUUUCGGAUCGUAAAACUCUGUUGUGAGGGAAGAACAAGUACGAGAGUAACUGCUCGUACCUUGACGGUACCUCAUUAGAAAGCCACGGCUAACUACGUGCCAGCAGCCGCGGUAAUACGUAGGUGGCAAGCGUUGUCCGGAAUUAUUGGGCGUAAAGCGCGCGCAGGCGGUCCUUUAAGUCUGAUGUGAAAGCCCACGGCUCAACCGUGGAAGGUCAUUGGAAACUGGGGGACUUGAGUGCAGAAGAGGAAAGUGGAAUUCCAAGUGUAGCGGUGAAAUGCGUAGAGAUUUGGAGGAACACCAGUGGCGAAGGCGACUUUCUGGUCUG
rnacentral:rRNA from 1 species